GACGAACGCUGGCGGCGUGCUUAACACAUGCAAGUCGAACGGAAAGGCCCUGCUUUUGUGGGGUGCUCGAGUGGCGAACGGGUGAGUAACACGUGAGUAACCUGCCCUUGACUUUGGGAUAACUUCAGGAAACUGGGGCUAAUACCGGAUAGGAGCUCCUGCUGCAUGGUGGGGGUUGGAAAGUUUCGGCGGUUGGGGACGGACUCGCGGCUUAUCAGCUUGUUGGUGGGGUAGUGGCUUACCAAGGCUUUGACGGGUAGCCGGCCUGAGAGGGUGACCGGCCACAUUGGGACUGAGAUACGGCCCAGACUCCUACGGGAGGCAGCAGUGGGGAAUAUUGCACAAUGGGCGGAAGCCUGAGGCAGCAACGCCGCGUGCGGGAUGACGGCCUUCGGGUUGUAAACCGCUUUCGCCUGUGACGAAGCGUGAGUGACGGUAAUGGGUAAAGAAGCACCGGCUAACUACGUG
rnacentral:rRNA from 1 species